UUUUUUAAUCAAAACAUUUGUUACCAUUUUGUUUGUGACAAAACAAUUGGGUGACCUAAGGAGACUCAGAAUCUGAAGCAGGCUCCAGGCUCUGAGCUGUCAGCACAUAGCCCAACACAGAGUUCAAACUCACUCAUGGUGGGAUUAUGACCUGAGCUGAAGUGCAGUACAAGAAAAGUUUAUAACGCCAUAUUUUAAACAAGUGUUCUAGAACAAGGAAGAGAAGAAGAGAAGAAGGAGGAGCUAAAGAGAAGGAAAAGGAGAAAAAGAGGGCAUGAAGGAAAGAGAAAGAAAAAUCCGUGAUAUGACAUUUUGUUCUGAUUUUCUAAAGCAGCAAGUGACAUCCAAUAUCUUCUAAAGAGAAUCAAAAAAAAAUCACCUCACCAUCACCUGUGGAAUUCCAUCAUAUAUGGCAUGAUUUCUUUCUUCCUUUUGUAGAGAAGAGCCCAAGAGAGAAUUCGUGCCACAGUGACCCUGCUGUGCCCUAUGUUUAUUCGGCAGUAAUCCUCGGGGAAAGGAUUUUGAAAAUGUAUUAGAGCUAGCACCGAGAACGAGUGUUAUUUUGAAGAAGUUACUGCUCCUUAACAUUCUAUUUUAAGUAGAUAUUAUAGGUGUGAUUCCUUUUAAAACAAAAGAAAAAAGGAGAGCUGUGUUUGAUUUUACAAAUUGAAGGUUUUGUUCCUGAUACCGAAUGGCAUUAUUCAUUUACCUUGGCCCUGUCGGUGUUUGAUAGGGUUUUUUCCCCUCCUUUUCACUCAACAACAACAAUAAUAGUAUCAGAUCUCGGACUAAGAAUCUGACGAAACAGAAAAGGGGAUGUGAGCAUCCUAGAUCCAGCUUUAUGAAGCAAUGCCCACACACAUCUCACCCCCUUGGUUGAUAGAGAUGAUUAAGCUCCUCAAGCUUGAAUCUACAGGGAAGUUGUAACCAUGCAGUUCCCACAUGAACAAAUAUUGGCGCUUCCACCAAGAAUCCCCAAAACCAGUUACAAAGUGAAGAGCUCAGACCUACAAAAGUGUGGACCCAGAGGGCAGACAGGACCACAAGAAGGUGCGAAGUUGGUAACUAUGCUUUGAG